CCAGGCAGGAGCACCCGCUGAGUACGCUGUGCCCCAUGGAAAGCACUUGCCAGCCAGUCAGGUCACCCAUGGGUAGCCCCCCCUUCAAGGCAAACUUUGAGGAUGAUGAUGAUGAGGAGGAGGAGGAGGAGGAAGAAGGCGAUCUCCACGAAUCCUGUUCUGGAUGAGGGGUGCCUUGCAUUUGGGAGCUCCCCAGUCACACAGUUCCAGUCGGAGGCAGCCAUGGGAAGCGGUCGCCCCAACAGCCAUCUGCCUCCAGGGACGCUUUUCUAAGUUCGCCUCGGACGCUGCCAUUCUCGCCAUCUCCAGCACCACUUGUUUGUAGCACACAAAGGACCAGCCAAUCUUCCUCAGCCCUCCAGGCGCAGCUCCCUGAUUGGCCGGCAUCACCUUACUUAACUCCGAGCCUCAAUUAGCCUUAGGGUCACCAGCAGUGCUCCCGUCGCUUGGCCUGAGUCACCUGAGGGGGGACUGCUCCACGUUCUGUCUGCAGCAGGGGGUGUUCUGGGACCUCCCGUGGGUGUAUCCGGUAAUGGUGCUGGGCCUUGUUUGAAGGCCACACCCCUGCAGGCCAAGAGGGGCAUCCCGCCUCUGGCCAGGUGUGCUACUAUGCAGGGAAACUAGUUCCAAUCCCAUUUUCCCCCUGCUCCUUGGAGGGGAGCUGUGUGUUGCAGGGGUACAGAGGAAGUCUGGCCUCUGCUGCCAGCUCUCCGCAUGGUCUGGUGCGAAGGCAGCAAAUCCCCCCCUAUGCCCUUCCCCUUGUCUCUCAU